rnacentral:rRNA from 1 species
UUGGUUAAGUUAGAAAGGGCGCACGGUGGAUGCCUUGGCACUAGGAGCCGAAGAAGGACGGGACUAACACCGAUAUGCUUUGGGGAGCUGUACGUAAGCGUUGAUCCAGAGAUUUCCGAAUGGGGGAACCCACUAUCUUUAGUCGGAUAGUAUCCUUACGUGAAUACAUAGCGUGAGGAAGGCAGACCCAGGGAACUGAAACAUCUAAGUACCUGGAGGAAGAGAAAGAAAAAUCGAUUUCCUGAGUAGCGGCGAGCGAAACGGAAAGAGCCCAAACCAAGAAGCUUGCUUCUUGGGGUUGUAGGACACUCUAUACGGAGUUACAAAAGAAAGUUAUAAAUGAAGCGGUCUGGAAAGGCCCGCCAAAGACGGUAACAGCCCGGUAGUUGAAAUGGCUUUCCCUCCAGAGUGGAUCCUGAGUACGGCGGAACACGUGAAAUUCCGUCGGAAUCCGGGAGGACCAUCUCCCAAGGCUAAAUACUCCCUAGUGACCGAUAGUGAACCAGUACCGUGAGGGAAAGGUGAAAAGCACCCCGGAAGGGGAGUGAAACAGUUCCUGAAACCGUGUGCCUACAAGUAGUUAGAGCCCGUUAAUGGGUGAUAGCGUGCCUUUUGUAGAAUGAACCGGCGAGUUACGAUUUGUUGCAAGGUUAAGCGGAAAAAGCGGAGCCGUAGCGAAAGCGAGUCUGAAUAGGGCGCAUAAGUAACAGGUCGUAGACCCGAAACCAGGUGAUCUACCCAUGUCCAGGAUGAAGGUAAGGUAAUACUUACUGGAGGUCCGAACCCACGCACGUUGAAAAGUGCGGGGAUGAGGUGUGGGUAGCGGAGAAAUUCCAAUCGAACUUGGAGAUAGCUGGUUCUCUCCGAAAUAGCUUUAGGGCUAGCCUCGAGGUAAAGAGUCAUGGAGGUAGAGCACUGUUUGGACUA